rnacentral:tRNA from 1 species
GCCUGGGUGGCUCAGUCGGUUGAGCGGCUGACUUCGGCUCAGGUCAUGAUCUCGCGGGUCUGUGAGUUCGACCCCCACAUUGGGCU